rnacentral:rRNA from 1 species
UACGUAGGGUGCGAGCGUUGUCCGGAAUUAUUGGGCGUAAAGAGCUCGUAGGCGGUGUGUCGCGUCGGCCGUGAAAACCUGGGGCUCAACUCUGGGCGUGCGGUCGAUACGGGCAUCACUUGAGUUCGGCAGGGGAGACUGGAAUUCCUGGUGUAGCGGUGAAAUGCGCAGAUAUCAGGAGGAACACCGGUGGCGAAGGCGGGUCUCUGGGCCGAUACUGACGCUGAGGAGCGAAAGCGUGGGUAGCGAACAGG